GAUGAACGCUGGCGGCGUGCCUAAUACAUGCAAGUCGAGCGAACGGACGAGAAGCUUGCUUCUCUGAUGUUAGCGGCGGACGGGUGAGUAACACGUGGAUAACCUACCUAUAAGACUGGGAUAACUUCGGGAAACCGGAGCUAAUACCGGAUAAUAUUUUGAACCGCAUGGUUCAAAAGUGAAAGACGGUCUUGCUGUCACUUAUAGAUGGAUCCGCGCUGCAUUAGCUAGUUGGUAAGGUAACGGCUUACCAAGGCAACGAUGCAUAGCCGACCUGAGGGGGUGAUCGGCCACACUGGAACUGAGACACGGUCCAGACUCCUACGGGAGGCAGCAGUAGGGAAUCUUCCGCAAUGGGCGAAAGCCUGACGGAGCAACGCCGCGUGAGUGAUGAAGGUCUUCGGAUCGUAAAACUCUGCUAUUAGGGAAGAACAUAUGUGUAAGUAACUGUGCACAUCUUGACGGUACCUAAUCAGAAAGCCACGGCUAACUACGUG
rnacentral:rRNA from 1 species